rnacentral:misc_RNA from 1 species
CAGAGUUGCAAAACUCCCAAAACCAUUGUGAACCUUACCUUCAACCGUUGCUUCGGCGGGCGGGCCCUGCGCCCCCUGGGCCCCCCUCGCGGGGGCGCCCGCCGGAGGUCUCUCAAACUCUUGAUACCAUGUGGCCUCUCUGAGUCUUCUGUACUGAAUAAGUCA